rnacentral:rRNA from 1 species
AUGCUGCGCGCCGGUGUUGUCGCUGAAGGCGUGCAUGUUCUUGGCGAGCGAGAAGCUCCGGCCGAUCACCUUGCGCUGCUUCUCUACUUCCCGGUUCAGUUUGGGCGACGUGGUGACCGCGCUCCGGCCGUGCACGUGCGCUGCGGCCAGUUUCGCCUGGUAUGCCACGACCGCGCGGACGAACUCCUGGUAGGCCUUGGCGCAGCCGGGGUAGUCGAACUCGUCGGUGCCCUCCUUGCGCAUGCGCUCCGGGUGGAACUGGAGCCCCAUGAUGAACUUGCCGUCGCCGGGGUUGUACGCGUCGGGGUCGUAGAACCCUUCGAUCAGCCCGUCCGGCGCAUGCGCCAUCGGCACGAACCGGUCGGCCAGGCGCCGCACGCCCUGGUGAUGAUAGCUGUUCACCAUCACCUGGUCCCCAUCAAGCAACGACUCCGCGAACCAGUCGUGCAGCGGCGUGCCGGGGAGCACGCGCACCGGGUGCCGGUGCCCGUCGUAGUUGGUGUAGUCCAUGUGGCAGACGGCGGCGUCGGCCGCGGGGUGGAGCUCGUGCUCGACGUCCUGGUAGAGCGAGCCGCCGCAGGCGACGUUGAGCACCUGCGAGCCGCGGCAGAUGCCGAGGAACGGGACGUUGCGCUCGAGGCACCGGCGCGCGAGGAGGAGCUCGAUGGAGUCCUUCUCGUUGUCCACGGCGGCGUCGCUCGGGUGGAGGCUCCGCACGGCCUCGAGCUGCUCCGCCGAGAGCGCGUAGCCUUCACCGUCGCCGUCGCCGCCGGCGCCGUAGAGGGAGGGGUUGAUGUCCUCUCCCUCGCAGAGGAGCACGCCGUGGAUGGGCUCGAAGGAGUCGAGCAUGGCGUGCACGCCGGCGACCCGCGGCACGAUGACCGGCACCGCGCCGUAGCUCACCACCAGGUCCAGGUGGUACUCCCCUGCAUCAAUCCAUGCAUGCAAAGGUUAACAUUCUUCCAACGAAUCCACCAAUAUUUGCACAGGACAAAACUUGUCAAGACGAAACAUACCGACGAAGUCGACGAACUUGUUCUUGCGGACGGUGCGGCGGGAGACGAUGAGCACGCGGGGGAGGAUCAGAUCAGGGGAGGGAGACAUGGCUAG